AUCCCGGAAGGGGGAGUAACAAUGAUACCGUUUUUGAUGCACGAGUACUACAGGCAAUGUGUUGACAGAAUUUCGUCUCGAACAUCUCAGAGUGGUCAUCAAUCCUGGUUUCUGUGCCAAGAUCUGCGACUCUCCUCUCUUUUCAGACAGCAGCUGAACUCCAAAUCCUAACACUGAUGGAGCACAUGAAACCUCAGCAGUCGCAACUUGCUGCAAUGGCCAAAAGCCUAGAUGGAAGGAUGGAGAACAACUUGCACCAACCAGACGAUGACCUAAAACAGUGGCUACAGGACGGCACAAAUGCCAGGAUCAAAACACAACAUGGGACUCCUGAGAAAAGCAGCAAACCAGGCUGUUGUCUUGUGAAACAGUGGAUGUAAAGAAUCUAGCUAGCUAAAGCAUUUACUGCUAAUUGAAUGUACAAUUGUGUAAGCUUGCCUUGCAAUGCAGCUGAAGUAACAUAGCUAGCUAACUAUUUACUUGCUUAUUGUGUGGUGGAGGAUAAAAACAACUGUAUGCCUAUGACUGUGUAGCUAGCUACUGUAUGUAGCCGAUCUGUGUAAGGACCCUAAAACGUUUGGUAUGAAUUUUAGUUCAGAACCUAUGAA